AGAGCGAACGCUGGCGGCAGGCUUAACACAUGCAAGUCGAGCGGGCGUAGCAAUACGUCAGCGGCAGACGGGUGAGUAACGCGUGGGAACAUACCUUUGGUUCGGAACAACCCAGGGAAACUUGGGCUAAUACCGGAUAAGCCCUUACGGGGAAAGAUUUAUCGCCGAAAGAUUGGCCCGCGUCUGAUUAGCUAGUUGGUGAGGUAACGGCUCACCAAGGCGACGAUCAGUAGCUGGUCUGAGAGGAUGAUCAGCCACAUUGGGACUGAGACACGGCCCAAACUCCUACGGGAGGCAGCAGUGGGGAAUAUUGGACAAUGGGCGCAAGCCUGAUCCAGCCAUGCCGCGUGAGUGAUGAAGGCCCUAGGGUUGUAAAGCUCUUUUGUGCGGGAAGAUAAUGACGGUACCGCAAGAAUAACGCCCGGCUAACUUCGCGCCAGCAGCCGC
rnacentral:rRNA from 1 species